rnacentral:rRNA from 1 species
AUCGAACGCUGGCGGCAUGCCUUACACAUGCAAGUCGAACGGCAGCACGGGAGCAAUCCUGGUGGCGAGUGGCGAACGGGUGAGUAAUAUAUCGGAACGUGCCCAGUCGUGGGGGAUAACGCAGCGAAAGCUGUGCUAAUACCGCAUACGAUCUAUGGAUGAAAGCGGGGGACCGCAAGGCCUCGCGCGAUUGGAGCGGCCGAUAUCAGAUUAGCUAGUUGGUGGGGUAAAGGCCCACCAAGGCGACGAUCUGUAGCUGGUCUGAGAGGACGACCAGCCACACUGGAACGGAGACGCGGGCCAGACUCCUAAGGGGGGCAGCAGUGGGGAAUUUUGGACAAUGGGCGCAAGCCUGAUCCAGCAAUGCCGCGUGCAGGAUGAAGGCCUUCGGGUUGUAAACUGCUUUUGUACGGAACGAAACGGUGAGCUUUAAUACAGUUUGCUAAUGACGGUACCGUAAGAAUAAGCACCGGCUAACUACGUGCCAGCCGCCGCAGUAAAAC